UACGUAGGGGGCAAGCGUUGUCCGGAAUCAUUGGGCGUAAAGAGCGUGUAGGUGGCUCGGUAAGUCCGCUGUGAAAGUCCAGGGCUCAACCCUGGAAUGCCGGUGGAAACUGUCGAGCUAGAGUCCGGAAGAGGCGAGUGGAAUUCCUGGUGUAGCGGUGAAAUGCGCAGAUAUCAGGAGGAACACCGGCGGUGUAGACGGCUUGCUAGACCAUAACUGACGCUGAGGCACGAAAGCGUGGGUAGCAAACAGG
rnacentral:rRNA from 1 species